AACGAACGCUGGCGGCAGGCCUAACACAUGCAAGUCGAGCGAGGACUUCGGUUCUAGCGGCGGACGGGUGAGUAACGCGUGGGAAUGUGCCCUUCUCUACGGAAUAGCCCUGGGAAACUGGGAGUAAUGCCGUAUACGCCCUAUUGGGGAAAGAUUUAUCGGAGAAGGAUCAGCCCGCGUUGGAUUAGGUAGUUGGUGGGGUAAUGGCCUACCAAGCCGACGAUCCAUAGCUGGUUUGAGAGGAUGAUCAGCCACACUGGGACUGAGACACGGCUCAGACUCCUACGGGAGGCAGCAGUGGGGAAUCUUAGACAAUGGGGGCAACCCUGAUCUAGCCAUGCCGCGUGAGUGAUGAAGGCCUUAGGGUUGUAAAGCUCUUUCAGCUGGGAAGAUAAUGACGGUACCAGCAGAAGAAGCCCCGGCUAACUCCGUG
rnacentral:rRNA from 1 species